GCUUAACAUGCAGUUCGAACGAGAAAGCCGGGGCAAUCUGGUGAGUAAAGUGGCGUACGGCCUGUUUAACACGAUGGAUCAUCUACCCUGGAGUGGGGAAUAACGCUGGGAAACCGGCGCUAAUACCGCAUAAUCCCGAGAGGGCAAAGGAGCAAUUCGCUUCAGGAGGAGUCCGCGGCCGAUUAGCUAGUUGGCAGGGUAAAAGCCUACCAAGGCAACGAUCGGUAGCCGGCCUGAGAGGGCACACGGCCACACUGGCACUGAAACACGGGCCAGACUCCUACGGGAGGCAGCAGUGGGGAAUCUUGCACAAUGGGGGCAACCCUGAUGCAGCGACGCCGCGUGAGCGAUGAAGCCCUUCGGGGUGUAAAGCUCUUUCGGCAGGGAAGAUUAUGACGGUACCUGCAGAAGCAGCUGCGGCUAACUACGUGCCAGCAGCCGCGGUAAUACGUAGGCAGCAAGCGUUGUUCGGAGUUACUGGGCGUAAAGGGUGUGUAGGCGGCCUUCUAAGUUUGGUGUGAAAUCUCCCGGCUCAACCGGGAGGGUGCGCCGAAGACUGGGGGGCUAGAGUAUGGGAUGGGAGAGUAGAAUUUCCGGUGUAGCGGUGAAAUGCGUAGAUAUCGGAAGGAAUACCUGUGGUGUAGACGGCUCUCUGGACCAUAACUGACGCUGAGACACGAAAGCGUGGGUAGCAAACAGGAUUAGAUACCCUGGUAGUCCACGCCCUAAACGAUGCAUAUUUGGUGUGGGCCAUUCAUUUUGGUCCGUGCCGGAGCUANCGCGUUAAAUAUGCCGCCUGGGGAGUACAGUCCGCAAGGCUGAAACUCAAAGGAAUUGACGGG
rnacentral:rRNA from 1 species